rnacentral:rRNA from 1 species
AUUGAACGCUGGCGGCAUGCCUUACACAUGCAAGUCGAACGGUAACAGGUCUUCGGAUGCUGACGAGUGGCGAACGGGUGAGUAAUACAUCGGAACGUGCCCGAUCGUGGGGGAUAACGAAGCGAAAGCUUCGCUAAUACCGCAUACGAUCUCAGGAUGAAAGCAGGGGACCGCAAGGCCUUGCGCUCACGGAGCGGCCGAUGGCAGAUUAGGUAGUUGGUGGGAUAAAAGCUUACCAAGCCGACGAUCUGUAGCUGGUCUGAGAGGACGACCAGCCACACUGGGACUGAGACACGGCCCAGACUCCUACGGGAGGCAGCAGUGGGGAAUUUUGGACAAUGGGCGCAAGCCUGAUCCAGCCAUGCCGCGUGCAGGAUGAAGGCCUUCGGGUUGUAAACUGCUUUUGUGCGGAACGAAAAGACUCUGGUUAAUACCUGGGGUCCAUGACGGUACCGUAAGAAUAAGCACCGGCUAACUACGUGCCAGCCGCCGCGGUAAUAC